UAAACAUUUGGGACUGUAGCUGAAGAAAUAUACAAUAUUUAAUCAAUUGCCUUGGCCUCUUAAGAUAGAGAAAAGCAGGAUUCGCUAUGCUUAUCCGGCUAGACCCUUUUGAACGAUGUUUUGAGGCAGGUCAUAUGCGUUCUGUCAUCACGUUUCCCCUUCUUAAAGAAAGGUCUUCCAAGUCGGGGUGUUAUAAAAAGGACGGUCACUACAAGUCAAGGUCAGUUACCUGCGAGUUGUUGAAGUGUGCAUUUCGCCUUGUGUGCAAUAUUACCUAUUUGCAGUUUGUUGGAUUUUCAUUAUUGAAAAAGAGCGUAAUUUUCUUACAGUCUACUGUUUUACGGUUUUCCUAUUACCUACUCUGUGCUGUACAUUUUGCACGUGGACGCAGUAAUAUACAAGAGGUAAUAUACAAAAAUAUCAUCGUCACUUUGUAGUUUCGACACUAUUAACACCUUUCUUUCAAUCUCUUGCUUAAUUAGUUUAUAUCAACCUAAGAAUGUCAGGAAAAGUUAAACUCAAUAAAUAUUACAUGCGAGCAAACAGCUCUGCUUGCUUUAUAUAGUCGUUCACAUCAGGAAACCUCUACAGCAUCCACAGUAAGCUUAGGAAAUCAGGAUACACAUAAUUUUGUAGAGAACCCUUCUUUUUCCGAAAAUGAUUUUGCGUCUGUUGAUUGUCCUACUGAUUUUCAAAACGAAAUUUUCGAACAAACGAUUCGCUCCGAAGAAAGUACCGCGUUUAAUACCUAUAAUACACUUGCCUCAGAAGAAACAUUAGAUGAUAGUUUUCAAUAUUCGUUAGUGGAGUGGAUUUUACAAUAUAAUAUUCCUCAUUCCGUGGUAAAUGAUUUACUUUCCAUUUUAAAAAAACCAGUUCCACAAAAUUUACCUUCAGAUGCCAGGACACUAUUAAAAACAACAAGAAAAAUAAAUACAACGUCUGUUGAACCGGGACAGUAAUACCAUUUCGGAUUAAAAAAUAGUAUUUUAAAUCUCGUGAAAACCAUAGAUACGUCUUCUAUUAUUAACAAUAUAAUUCAAAUUAAUAUUAAUAUUGACGGAUUGCCAUUAUGUAAAAGUUCAAGUAGUCAAGUUUAUCCGAUUUUAUGUAGCGUUGCAGGGCAUAAAAAUGUAGUAGAUAUGGUUGGUAUUUAUCAUAGUUAUGAGAAACCCAAAAAUAUAAAUAGUUUUUUUAAUGAUUUUGUGCUGGAGGCAAUAGAUGUCAUUAAUAACGGAUUCUUAAUAAAUGGAAAAUUACAUCGUUUAAAAACUAAAUCUUUCAUAUGCAAUGCCCCUGCUAAAGCCUCUAUUAAAUGCGUGAAAGGGCAUACAGGCUAUUUUUCUUACACCAAGUGUCAAUCUGAAGGAGCAUUCAUAGAAAAUAGAAUAUGUUUCCCUGAUGUAACGAACAUUCGCUUAAGAACCGACUCUGAGUUGUCACGUCUGGAAAAUUUUACAAAUUUGUCCACCUCACAUUCCCUUAUCAAGCCUUCGGGUUGUAGGGGUUUCCUCAUGUAAGGGGCGUGAGGGGGAUACAUCACUUCUGCAUUAUUUCAAUUUCUCCUCGACUCUGUGCUUUCCCAUCAAGCCUGCGGGUUGUG